rnacentral:rRNA from 1 species
AUGGCGCCCGCUCGGGAGCUCCAAGAAACCUCGUCGUCCUCGUCGUCAUCGACGUCGUCGUAUACGACCAGCUCCACGUCCAUGUCGUGCUCGUCCACCGUCACGGACUCUUCGUCGUGCCCCUCCUCGCCGGCGAGCGCAGCCAAUGCCGUGAAGGAGGCGCCGCGCAAGCGGCAGCUGGACGAGGGAGAGGGAGGGCGUGAGGAGACGGAGGAGGGGAAGGCGACGACGACGAAGAAGAAGAGCAAGCGGAGCAGCGACGGGAAGCACCCGGUGUACCGCGGUGUGCGGAUGCGGGCGUGGGGCAAGUGGGUGUCGGAGAUCCGCGAGCCGCGCAAGAAGUCGCGCAUCUGGCUCGGCACCUUCCCCACCGCCGAGAUGGCCGCGCGCGCGCACGACGUCGCCGCGCUCGCCAUCAAGGGCGCCCGGUCCGCGCACCUCAACUUCCCGGAGCUCGCCGACGUCCUCCCGCGCGCCGCCUCGCCGGCACCCAAGGACGUGCAGGCCGCCGCCGCAUUGGCCGCCGCGUUCACGUCUUCGCCGCCGCCCAUGUCCACGGAUCAGUCGGAGGAGGAGGAGGGCCUCAUCCAAGAGGAGACCGUCAAGAACGACGCCGGCGCGGACGCUACCGCGCCGCCGGAGUCUGCCGCCACGGCUACGAGCUGCGGCGCCGCCGCUGAGCAGGCGGAGGAGGAGGAGCUGCAGCUGUUCGACCUGCCGGACCUGCUCCUGGACAUCGAGGACGGGUUCGGGUUCUCCACCAUGUGGGCUCCGCUCCCCGACGUCGAGGAGGUCAAUGCAGACCUCCGGCUCGAGGAGCCACUCCUUUGGGAGUAG